AUUGAACGCUGGCGGCAGGCCUAACACAUGCAAGUCGAGCGGAUGAAGGGAGCUUGCUCCUGGAUUCAGCGGCGGACGGGUGAGUAAUGCCUAGGAAUCUGCCUGGUAGUGGGGGAUAACGUCCGGAAACGGGCGCUAAUACCGCAUACGUCCUGAGGGAGAAAGUGGGGGAUCUUCGGACCUCACGCUAUCAGAUGAGCCUAGGUCGGAUUAGCUAGUUGGUGGGGUAAAGGCCUACCAAGGCGACGAUCCGUAACUGGUCUGAGAGGAUGAUCAGUCACACUGGAACUGAGACACGGUCCAGACUCCUACGGGAGGCAGCAGUGGGGAAUAUUGGACGAUGGGCGAAAGCCUGAUCCAGCCCUGCCGCGUGUGUGAAGAAGGUCUUCGGAUUGUAAAGCACUUUAAGUUGGGAGGAAGGGCAGUAAGUUAAUACCUUGCUGUUUUGACGUUACCAACAGAAUAAGCACCGGCUCACUUCGUG
rnacentral:rRNA from 1 species